rnacentral:rRNA from 1 species
AGUGAACGCUGGCGGUAGGCCUAACACAUGCAAGUCGAACGGCAGCACAGUAAGAGCUUGCUCUUACGGGUGGCGAGUGGCGGACGGGUGAGGAAUACAUCGGAAUCUACUUUUUCGUGGGGGAUAACGUAGGGAAACUUACGCUAAUACCGCAUACGACCUACGGGUGAAAGCAGGGGAUCUUCGGACCUUGCGCGACUGAAUGAGCCGAUGUCGGAUUAGCUAGUUGGCGGGGUAAAGGCCCACCAAGGCGACGAUCCGUAGCUGGUCUGAGAGGAUGAUCAGCCACACUGGAACUGAGACACGGUCCAGACUCCCACGGGAGGCAGCAGUGGGGAAUAUUGGACAAUGGGCGCAAGCCUGAUCCAGCCAUACCGCGUGGGUGAAGAAGGCCUUCGGGUUGUAAAGCCCUUUUGUUGGGAAAGAAAAGCAGCAGGUUAAUACCCCGCUGUUCUGACGGUACCCAAAGAAUAAGCACCGGCUAACUUCGUG